GACGAACGCUGGCGGCGUGCUUAACACAUGCAAGUCGAACGGAGUGGCGAACGGGUGAGUAACACGUGGGUGAGCUGCCUUGCACUUCGGGAUAAGCUAGGGAAACUGGGUCUAAUACCGGAUAGUGCAAGAUGAGCUCGUGGCCUAUCAGCUUGUUGGUGGGGGACGGGCCUACCAAGGCGUCGACGGGUAGCCGGCCUGAGAGGGGGUACGGCCACAUUAGGACUGAGAUACGGCCCAGACUCCUACGGGAGGCAGCAGUGGGGAAUAGUGCACAAUGGGCGGGAGCCUGAUGCAGCGACGCCGCGUGUGGGAUGAAGGCCUUCGGGUUGUAAACUCCUUUCGACAGGGACGCGGUACCUGUAUAAGAAGCACCGGCUAACUACGUGCCAGCAGCCGCGGUAAUAC
rnacentral:rRNA from 1 species